rnacentral:rRNA from 1 species
UAGUUUGAUCAUGGCUCAGGAUGAACGCUGGCGGCGUGCCUAAUACAUGCAAGUCGAACGAACUUCCGUUAAUUGAUUAUGACGUGCUUGCACUGAAUGAGAUUUUAACACGAAGUGAGUGGCGGACGGGUGAGUAACACGUGGGCAACCUGCCCAGAAGCAGGGGAUAACACCUGGAAACAGAUGCUAAUACCGUAUAACAGAGAAAACCGCCUGGUUUUCUUUUAAAAGAUGGCUCUGCUAUCACUUCUGGAUGGACCCGCGGCGCAUUAGCUAGUUGGUGAGGUAACGGCUCACCAAGGCGAUGAUGCGUAGCCGACCUGAGAGGGUAAUCGGCCACAUUGGGACUGAGACACGGCCCAGACUCCUACGGGAGGCAGCAGUAGGGAAUCUUCCACAAUGGACGCAAGUCUGAUGGAGCAACGCCGCGUGAGUGAAGAAGGGUUUCGGCUCGUAAAGCUCUGUUGUUAAAGAAGAACGUGGGUGAGAGUAACUGUUCACCCAGUGACGGUAUUUAACCAGAAAGCCACGGCUAACUACGUGCCAGCAGCCGCGGUAAUACGUAGGUGGCAAGCGUUAUCCGGAUUUAUUGGGCGUAAAGCGAGCGCAGGCGGUCUUUUAAGUCUAAUGUGAAAGCCUUCGGCUCAACCGAAGAAGUGCAUUGGAAACUGGGAGACUUGAGUGCAGAAGAGGACAGUGGAACUCCAUGUGUAGCGGUGAAAUGCGUAGAUAUAUGGAAGAACACCAGUGGCGAAGGCGGCUGUCUGGUCUGUAACUGACGCUGAGGCUCGAAAGCAUGGGUAGCGAACAGGAUUAGAUACCCUGGUAGUCCAUGCCGUAAACGAUGAUUACUAAGUGUUGGAGGGUUUCCGCCCUUCAGUGCUGCAGCUAACGCAUUAAGUAAUCCGCCUGGGGAGUACGACCGCAAGGUUGAAACUCAAAAGAAUUGACGGGGGCCCGCACAAGCGGUGGAGCAUGUGGUUUAAUUCGAAGCUACGCGAAGAACCUUACCAGGUCUUGACAUCUUCUGCCAACCUAAGAGAUUAGGUGUUCCCUUCGGGGACAGAAUGACAGGUGGUGCAUGGUUGUCGUCAGCUCGUAGUGAGACUGCCGGUGACAAACCGGAGGAAGGUGGGGACGACGUCAAAUCAUCAUGCCCCUUAUGACCUGGGCUACACACGUGCUACAAUGGAUGGUACAACGAGUCGCGAAACCGCGAGGUUUAGCUAAUCUCUUAAAACCAUUCUCAGUUCGGACUGUAGGCUGCAACUCGCCUACACGAAGUCGGAAUCGCUAGUAAUCGCGGAUCAGCAUGCCGCGGUGAAUACGUUCCCGGGCCUUGUACACACCGCCCGUCACACCAUGAGAGUUUGUAACACCCAAAGCCGGUGGGGUAACCUUUUAGGAGCUAGCCGUCUAAGGUGGGACAGAUGAUUAGGGUGAAGUCGUAACAAGGUAGCCGUAGGAGAACCUGCGGCUGGAUCACCUCCUA